GGCGGUAUGGUGUAGUGGUCUGAACAUUGGACUAUAACUCUGGAGACCAGGUUUCGAAUCCCUGAUUGGCCA